UACGGGGGGGGCAAGCGUUGUUCGGAAUUACUGGGCGUAAAGGGCGUGUAGGCGGCCAACUAAGUCCGACGUGAAAUCCCCAGGCUUAACCUGGGAACUGCGUCGGAUACUGGAUGGCUUGAAUCCGGGAGAGGGAUGCGGAAUUCCAGGUGUAGCGGUGAAAUGCGUAGAUAUCUGGAGGAAUACCAGCGGCGAAGGCGGCGAUCUGGGCUGAUACUGACGCUGAGGUGCGAAAGCGUGGGGAGCAAACAGGAUAGAACCGUAACGUAGUCAGAUCCAAGUCCAUCUACGUCU
rnacentral:rRNA from 1 species